CCAGUGGCGAAGGCGGCUGCCUGGUCUGUAACUGACGCUGAGACUCGAAAGCAUGGGUAGCGAACAGGAUUAGAUACCCUGGUAGUCCAUGCCGUAAACGAUGAGUGCUAGGUGUUGGAGGGUUUCCGCCCUUCAGUGCCGGAGCUAACGCAUUAAGCACUCCGCCUGGGGAGUACGACCGCAAGGUUGAAACUCAAAGGAAUUGACGGGGGCCCGCACAAGCGGUGGAGCAUGUGGUUUAAUUCGAAGCUACGCGAAGAACCUUACCAGGUCUUGACAUCUUGCGCCAACCCUAGAGAUAGGGCGUUCCCUUCGGGGACGCAAUGACAGGUGGUGCAUGGUCGUCGUCAGCUCGUGUCGUGAGAUGUUGGGUUAAGUCCCGCAACGAGCGCAACCCUUGUUACUAGUUGCCAGCAUUCAGUUGGGCACUCUAGUGAGACUGCCGGUGACAAACCGGAGGAAGGUGGGGACGACGUCAGAUCAUCAUGCCCCUUAUGACCUGGGCUACACACGUGCUACAAUGGACGGUACAACGAGUCGCGAACUCGCGAGGGCAAGCAAAUCUCUUAAAACCGUUCUCAGUUCGGAUUGCAGGCUGCAACUCGCCUGCAUGAAGUCGGAAUCGCUAGUAAUCGCGGAUCAGCAUGCCGCGGUGAAUACGUUCCCGGGCCUUGUACACACCGCCCGUCACACCAUGAGAGUUUGUAACACCCAAAGUCGGUGGGGUAACCAUUGGAGCCAGCCGCCUA
rnacentral:rRNA from 1 species